AUGAAAUACAUUACGAUUCGCAUAAGCAAACUUAGAUAAAAAAAAAUGCAGUUUUUUUUUAAUUAAACGCUCAAGUGUUUCUAAACAGCACACUAUUCAAAAUGGUAGAUCAAAGAUGGCAGCUAUAUAGAAUUUUGAAGUGUUUGCGUUUGUAGGCAUCAUUCAAAAGAAAAUGAAGAAUAUUAAAUUCUGCUUUUUAUUAGCAAAGAAAAAGAGAAACAGGUUUACGAAUGUUACAAAUAAACUUGGUAUUUAUUUUUACCACAAAUUCUUCGCCAUUGAAGAAUGUUAAUCAUUUUAAAACAAGAGUUUAGUAGCUGUUUCCUGCUUCCCAAGGGUAGAUGCAUUAAAAAAGAAUUGACAACAGACUGCGUGUUUCGUAUGAUUCGAAGUCGCUAUCAUUCGAAGCCAGAAAGCUUUAAAAAAAUUGUCAAUAAGUGUGUCAAUAAGUGUGUUUUUGUCUAGCAGAAUUGUGAUAGAUACGAAAAUAACAAGUCUGCUGUAAAUACGGCGGCUUAUCCCUUCUGUAUUAACGAUUUGUAAUUUGUAUUGAAUCUUAUAGCAACAAGUUGUUUAGCUGUGAUGACAUUGACGCUCUUUUAACAUUUUGUCACUUCGGAUUUUUACAUCAAUUUUAAAUCAUAAAAAACUACGUUAUAACAAACCUUGUUGGUUGAAUAUUUUUACCUCAAGAAUCUCUGUGCAUUUAUGCUCAUGUGUACCUUUCAACCAUCACUGAAUGGAGUACUUCACGGUAAUGAGUACACAAAGUUUUUAUAUCGCCUCUCUCCUUCACAGUUAACUUGUUACAUUUAUGAUACAUUUCUUGUUAAACACUCUCCUUCGCUGUGUCUAUUAUGAUUAAAAGUGAAUAAAUACUCACCAGUGGC